CUUUUCAGUGAGCCGUUGAGUCCAUAACUCGCACACACUGCAGUAACCAGAUAACGAAAAACAGUGAAAUGGUCCUUCUUCUUCACCUUCCAAGGUUCCCUCUCUACUUGAUUACUUCAUCUCACUCCCUUCAUCUCCGAGCCCUCUCAACUUCCUCCAAAACCACCCUCUUACGCCCACCCAAAGCCACGCUCACCACCUCACAACCCGUGACCGUAACAAACCCUUCCGCAACAGAACUAUCCCUCGAGAAGCUCUUCGUUCCGCCAGGGACCAACGUGUCUCUCGACACCGCGAGAGUGUUGAACGGUUCCAACAUUCUUCUUAGCAAUUACGCCAACGACGCUCUGAUAUCGCAGGCCGAAUUCGUGAAAAGCAGUGUGAAAACCGAAGACUGCCCCUCCGAUGGCCUCCCUGAAUUUGCUCUCGUUGGCCGCUCCAAUGUCGGCAAAUCCUCCCUCCUCAACUCUCUCGUGCGCCGCAAGAAGCUCGCCUUAACUUCCAAGAAACCCGGCAAAACGCAAUGCAUUAACCAUUUUCGGAUUAAUGAUAGCUGGUAUCUGGUUGAUUUGCCUGGAUAUGGGUAUGCAUCUGCACCGCAUGAACUUAGAAUGGACUGGGAAAAAUUCACCAAGGACUAUUUCCUUAACCGUUCAACAUUAGUUUCAGUAUUCCUUCUAAUAGAUGCUAGCAUUCCUGCUAAACAAAUCGAUCUUGACUAUGCCAGUUGGUUGGGUCAGAAUCAGAUCCCAAUGACAAUAAUCUUUACCAAAUGUGACAAGCGGAAGAAAAAAAAAAACGGAGGCAAAAGACCAGAGGAAAAUGUUGAUGAUUUUCAGGACUUGAUUCGAGGUUUCUUCCAAUCAGUGCCUCCAUGGAUCAUGACCAGUAGUGUCACCCAUCAGGGUCGUGAUGAAAUACUUCUCCACAUGGCCCAGCUACGGAACUAUUGGCUUAAGCACUAAUUCUGAGAAAUCUGGCUUCACGAGAACUACUAGUAUGCCCAUCUUGAAUAUAGUGAAUUGCUUAAUGGUAUCUAGCUGGUGAUUUAAAUUCUAAAUUCAUCCCAUGUCUCAGAUACGCGUUUCCAGAUAGACUUGCUCGAUUGUUUACCCCACAAUAUCAUUUUAUCUAUAUAUUCCAUGGUGUGCCUUCUGUGUUGUCUACACAACCUACAAGGCCUAAAGCUAGUGACAUGAAAGCUGGAUAAAGAAAACCAUAUAGAACAAAGCUCGAUAUUGUUCAACACCAUGUCCGCUUGAGGUUCUACUCCCAGCCAACCUGUAUGAUUGUUCUGACGAACUUUCUGUAUUUUUUACAAAUGGUUAUCACCUUAAAAAUGCAAAUGAUAUUUUCAUUCAAAUA